rnacentral:piRNA from 1 species
AUCGACAAGUUGGAAGAGUUGAUG